GUGUAUUUUGUGUAUAUCGUGUGUAUAGUGUGCAGUGUGUGAAGUGUGUAUUUUGUGUAAAGUGUGUGUGAGUGCGUAUUUUGUGUAAAGUGUGUGUGAGUGCGUAUUUUGUGUAUAGGGAGGCGUCGGCCUUCCUCGUUUUUCCCCGAUUCAAAAUCGGACUCAAAUCUUACCGGCCCCCGGCCUCGCUCCUGAUUCGCGAGUGUCAAAUGGCCUUUCUCCGAGACCUCUCUCUCUCGGUAGUCGGUGCCUCCGUCGUCGUCUCUCCAUCGUUGACCCUAUGCUUUCGGAGGAGGAGCAGGAACGCCGCACCGCUGUCGCUCGUCGAGUCCGUGCUCCCUCCGGCUGCCCUCGGCAAGAGCCGUCCCUCACCCAUGCUAAGUCUCCGUUCACUCCUCGUUCUAGUUCUUAAAUUUUAUUCUAUUGAAGUUUGUAUGGGAUCUAGUAGCAUUAGAAAUUCUAAUUUGAGUAAAGUUUGUGGUUUCUGAUCAAGUGAUGGUAUAUGAUAGCUCUGUUAAUGUGUGUAUGAUAAGCUCCUACUUCCUAUGUUAUACCUGAGCUAAACGAGCAGGGGUGUGUGGAGGUUUCACUACUUCAUCUUACUCCAUCAUUCUGUCCCAUUAUGAAUGAUGACGGCUCUAAAUUCUUACUUGAUGAUAUGGUGUUCAAACUGAGUUCCAAAUGGAGUGGGGUUUACCUUCGCUGCUUGAUGAACGAGGCUAUUCUAAUCUCCGGUCACCGAGAGCUCCACUCCCUCUCUAUGCGUGGCUGGUGGUUUGGUGUGUGUGGUGGGGGAAAACUUGUUGCAUAUGGAGGGGGAUUUUAUAGGCUCUCUUGUGUACCUAGAGUUUGUUAGCACUCUUGACAGAGAUGUACUCUGAAUCCCUGACUCCUUUCUAACAGAUUCUAGUUGUUUAUGGGGUGUGUACUCGUGAAUUGAAUGUGGCUGCUCCCUCCUCACUCGGCAGCCUACUGCGGGAUCUCACUCCCUCCCCCUUUUCCAACCCCCCUACUGACUUCGGGUACGGUUUUGCAGGUGGACUGAAACUGACAUGGUUGGCUGGAGUGCAGGGUGUUGCUGCAGCCUCUCCUCCCUAGCUAGACGCGCGGCAGCCUUGGCCGCAGAGUGCAGUCCGCUGCAGGGUGGUCUGCCAUCUCAUAGAAAGGGAAGAGACUAUCCAUCGCCGGCGAUUAGCACGUUGCCUCGGCCCAUCGUCCGUCGACAGUCGAGGCAGCAACCGGUGCUAAAUGUGCCGAAGCUAGUUCUCUCUUCUUUCUCGUAUUGUAAUAGAGUAGCUCUACGUGUAAACUUUCUUCAACAUGUAAUAGUUAGUUGGUGUGUGUUUCGUUUUUCCUUUAUUUCUAUCAUUCUCAUUGUAAUUCAAUACAUAGCUUAAGACUUUCAUAUAUUGUAUUUCGUUCGUUUAAGAAAUACACACAUACUCUUCCACUC